CAAGUCGAGCGAAGCACUUUACUUAGAUUUCUUCGGGAUGAAGAGUAUUGUGACUGAGCGGCGGACGGGUGAGUAACGCGUGGGUAACCUGCCUCAUACAGGGGGAUAACAGUUAGAAAUGACUGCUAAUACCGCAUAAGACCACAGCACCGCAUGGUGCAGAGGUAAAAACUCCGGUGGUAUGAGAUGGACCCGCGUCUGAUUAGCUGGUUGGUGGGGUAACGGCCUACCAAGGCGACGAUCAGUAGCCGGCCUGAGAGGGCGACCGGCCACAUUGGGACUGAGACACGGCCCAAACUCCUACGGGAGGCAGCAGUGGGGAAUAUUGCACAAUGGGGGAAACCCUGAUGCAGCGACGCCGCGUGAAGGAAGAAGUAUUUCGGUAUAUAAACUUCUAUCAGCAGGGAAGAAAAUGACGGUACCUGACUAAGAAGCCCCGGCUAACUACGUGCCAGCAGCCGCGGUAAUACGUAGGGGGCAAGCGUUAUCCGGAUUUACUGGGUGUAAAGGGAGCGUAGACGGAGAGGCAAGUCUGAUGUGAAAACCCGGGGCUCAACCCCGGGACUGCAUUGGAAACUGUUUUUCUAGAGUGUCGGAGAGGUAAGCGGAAUUCCUAGUGUAGCGGUGAAAUGCGUAGAUAUUAGGAGGAACACCAGUGGCGAAGGCGGCUUACUGGACGAUGACUGACGUUGAGGCUCGAAAGCGUGGGGAGCAAACAGGAUUAG
rnacentral:rRNA from 1 species